UGGAACCUACGGGACGCAGCAGUGAGGAAUCUUCCGCAAUGGGCGAAAGCCUGACGGAGCAACGCCGCGUGAUCGAAUGAAGGCCUUCGGGUUGUAAAGAUCUGUUGACAGGGACGAAUAAGCAAUGCGAAUAGUUUUGUGUAUGACGGUACCUGUUUAGAAAGCUCCGGCUAACUACGUGCCAGCAGCCGCGGUAAUACGUAGGGAGCAAGCGUUGUCCGGAAUUACUGGGCGUAAAGGGCGCGUGGGUGGGCGCUUAAGUCAGGUGUGAAAACUCGGGGCUCAACCGGGAGAC
rnacentral:rRNA from 1 species